AUUAUUCACACAAAUUCUGGGGCAGUCUUCUGGCUUGUAAAUAUUUCCUCGAAUGACUUGGUGAAAAAUGAGGAGCCAAGCAGGGUGCUGUUAGGAGCAAUGAGCCUUGUGAAGCACUCAGAUGCCAUCCUGAUAAUGGCCGAGAAAAGCUCACAAGAAAAUCAGCAAUUGUGUCUUCCAAGCAGAUAUAAGUCGUGCAUGUGCAAAAGGAUACCUGUGCCUAGAAAGAGACAAAAUCUGAAUUCCAAAAUGGAUGUUGUUCAAUGAAAUGUGCAGGAUCUUAAAUCUUGGCUCUGCUGAAGAGAUGUUUCUUGGUGCCUGCAACAGGAUUCUGGAGUAUCUUCUCAGUGGAAAGGAACAUGGAGUUCCCAAUUCCCUCACAAGGUGUCUGAUGCAAGUAAAGGAGUUUGCAGACCUAAAGAUCUUUUUGAGGUGUGAUGUUCCUGUGGUGCUGUUCUCCCUCUGGGCAGUGAUGCACAGCAGGGACUUAUCCAGAUGAUCUGAGGAGGAGCCACCUCAGCAGUGUGAGACUGUAAGAGCUUCUUCACCCUGUUUUGGUCCAAGUUCCUGAGCUGGUAUCUCUGCACAUGUUGCUCAUCAAACACCCCAACUGUCCUCAGUAACAUUGCUGCUGUCAGCCAGCCAGUAACCUCUGCUCUGGCCAUCAAACAUCACCACUAAAAGUUCAAGACAGAAUGGAAUAAACUGAGACACAGAGCCACAACUAAACCUGGAGUCAGGCAGUGCAAAAGAGCUGGAAUGAGCCCCAGAUACCAGUCCUUGGACCACCCAGUGGAAAAAGAGAGUCAAUUGGCUGCUAGCAAGCUCACAGCCUCUCCUGGUGCUACCAGAUCCUGCUGGUGCCAACAGGAGUGGA